rnacentral:rRNA from 1 species
UACAGAGGGUGCAAGCGUUAAUCGGAAUUACUGGGCGUAAAGGGUGCGUAGGCGGUUAAAUAAGUUAGAUGUGAAAUCCCCAGGCUUAACCUGGGAACUGCGUUUAAUACUGUAUAACUAGAGUACUGAAGAGGUUAGUGGAAUUUCCAGUGUAGCGGUGAAAUGCGUAGAUAUUGGAAGGAACACCAGUGGCGAAGGCGACUAACUGGUCAGAUACUGACGCUGAGGCACGAAAGCGUGGGGAGCAAACAGG